rnacentral:sRNA from 1 species
AUACAAUGCAGAACACUACCUUUCCUAC